CGGCUCAGCAACAAGUCGGGCUGCUUCCUCCUGACUCACUUUCUUCUCAUCAGGAAAUGGGAGCCUCUGUCCUCACAGGUUUCACUGAGGCCACAGGCAAUACCCUCCAAAAAGAAGCCAGUGAAGUGUGGACUCAGAUACCCUCAGAAGUGAGAUGUUUGGGUACGACUGUCAUAUAAACACAGACCUCAGGGGACGAAGUGAGAAAAAACAACUCUAGCCACUUCCUCUCUCUGACCUCCUGCAGGAACUCUGGGGACCCUCCACUCCUGCCAGGACAUGCCACCUGGUCCCCUCUGGGCUACGACCCUCUGCCAUGGUCCAGGGAAGCCAACACCCCCGCAGAGAGUGAAGGGCUGUGCCUCUCCCAGGCUGGGCUGGAUGGGCCAGCACAGGAGAUGGGCGUGGCUGAGGUGGCAGGUUCUGGACUGCGUGCAGGGGAGUGGGUUCCCCUCCCUUCCCCUCGACUCCGGGUCGGGCUCUGGGAGCCCUACAGCCCCUUUGGCUCACCAGGCUGAACAGCAACCCCUUUGCAAUAACAGCCUCUGGGAACGAGAGACAAGCUUGGUUCACAGAGCAACCAGAGCUUUAAGGGGCGGGGGGGUGCUGGGGGCAGAGGGUGCUGCUUCAUGACGGGGCUUCCCUCUCACCUCACGUCUCUGUUCUCAGGCCCCAGGGGAGUCCCAUCUUGUUUGAACUCACUGGUAAGUUGUCUAAGAGCUCGUGGGGACCUUGGGGGCAGGAAAUCCUUUCUCAAAGUCAGGCCCAAUUCCACUGGGCUCUUGCCUGAGGUGUGGAGGGAGUGAGAGAUGGGGACAUGCCUCUCCUUCCCCUGCUAGUGUCUCCUGGACCCUGUGAGAACAGGCUAUGAGGGGCAAAGAGCAGCAGAAGGGAAAACCAGAGCGUUCUGGUUAUGAACCCAACAUCAGUGCCGGCUGACCCUGGGGUGCUGCACUGGGAGACCUCUGCUAGUCCUUGUAAGGACUAGUCCUUCAUGCACCUAUCUUCCAGGAGUCUGGGAAAGAUUCUGAGCCUGGGGAAUAGGCCGACACAGAGAAGAUGCUCAGAAAGCAUUCGUGGGUGGAUGGAUGGAUGGAUGGAUGAAUAAAAGAAAUAAAAGUUAGAUGGAUCCAAGUGGGAAAUGGAUGGGUGGAUGGAUAGCAGAUGUGUGGAUGAUAGGUGAGUGGGUGGCAGGAUGGUGGACUGAUGGAUGGAUGGAUGGAUGGUGGCAGGAUGGAGGAUGGAUGGAUGGAUGGUGGAUUGAUGGAUUGAUGGACGGAUGGUGGAUGGAUGGUGGUUGGACGGAUGAGUAGGUAGGUGGGGAACUGGAUAAAAGAAUUGAUAAAAAAGGAAGGGAAAA